rnacentral:rRNA from 1 species
AUUGAACGCUGGCGGCAGGCCUAACACAUGCAAGUCGAGCGGUAGAGAGAAGCUUGCUUCUCUUGAGAGCGGCGGACGGGUGAGUAAUGCCUAGGAAUCUGCCUGAUAGUGGGGGAUAACGUCCGGAAACGGACGCUAAUACCGCAUACGUCCUACGGGAGAAAGUGGGGGCUCUUCGGACCUCACGCUAUCAGAUGAGCCUAGGUCGGAUUAGCUAGUUGGUGGGGUAAAGGCUCACAAAGGCGACGAUCCGUAACUGGUCUGAGAGGAGUAGCAGGCACACUGGAACUGAGACACGGUCCAGACUCCUACGGGAGGCAGCAGUGGGGAAUAUUAGACAAUGGGCGAAAGACUGAUCCAGCCAUGCCGCGUGUGUGAAGAAGGUCUUCGGAUUGUAAAGCACUUUAAGUUGGGAGGAAGGGUCGUUACCUAAUACGUGACGAUUUUGACGUUACCGACAGAAUAAGCACCGGCUAACUCUGUGCCAGCCGCCGCCGUAAAAC